CUGACCUCAAAUCAGGUAGGAUUACCCGCUGAACUU
rnacentral:rRNA from 3 species